AGAAAGUUAUUGCUCUUCGAACAUCCAAUGUGUGGAGUGAGGCCUCCCUCCUGCCCACUUGUGGUUUAGGAAAAAAUACAGGCCUUCUCAAUCCAAGUCAGCCAUGGAGUAACCAGGACUUGAGGUGGAGUACUGCAAGGUUGGGGUGACGGACGCGUCCCACAUCUUAUGAUAGAAGAUAUGUAAAUGCCAAGGAUUUUUAAGGUCAUCCUUGAGUCUUUUAGGCUAUGUAAUGAGACAUCCGUUUUGUCUGCAAAGUUUCUGACCCUCGAAGGGUAAGUCUUUAAUGGUUGCCCAGACCUCCCUUUGGAACUUGGAGAGGUGGAGCCAAGAUGCACAGCGCAUGACCAUAGAUGUUGCGAUGGAACGUGCUGCCAUGUCUGCAGAGUCUAAGGAAGCCUGUAGGGCCAUCCUGGCAAUGAGAGACCCCUCAGAAAUGUUUGCCUUAUACUGUUCUAUUUUGUCAUUGGGUAUAUUUUCA